rnacentral:sRNA from 2 species
AAACAAGUCAUUGGGGAGUAGCCUGUUCUAGAUAUUAUUCUAGAAAGUCCGUAUCAACAUACUCGUUUGAAUUUAAACGUGGUGCGGACACCAUUUCGGUUGGCAAGACCAUAGACACAUAAAUAAGCCUUUUGGUUGGGGGUAAUUUAUGUGUUAUAUGGAUUCACCAACCGAGGU